CCUGUGGGAAGAGCAACCACCACAAAAUCAUUCUGUGCAAAACAGCCCCCUUGUUCCAUGGCCAAAUACAACAAAACUUUGGAACCUACUACUGCUAUGGAUCUGGAACCAGGUGUAAUACAAAUCCAAUCAAAUCAUUCAGCAUCCCUAGGAAAAAUAGUGCUAUCCUUGGAUCUCCUUGAACAUUGCAAGGGCUCUCAAAUAUGACUAAGAAAGCUCAGAAGUUGGAGCAUCAUCUGCUGCACAAAAGGUAUUUUCCAGCAGACUACGUAUCAAAAAUCCCUACAAGCACUACAAAAAUAAGGAUGGCUCUUUUAGUGCCAAGGGUAAGGAUGCACUCCAGAGAAAGGUCAGCUGCCCCUGAAACAGCCUGCUAUCUGUACCCACAAGAGGGAGAAAGAGACAGAGCCAACAAAUGUGGUGAAAGUGGGAAAUCAGGAGUGCACAAUUUCUCUUGAACCAGGACCCAUAGCAGAGCUGGCAGCAGAACCUAGGAAUAAAGCAGCAAAUUAAAGAAGCUUCAAGUCAGUGCCUGCUUCUCUUUGACCUGGGAGAAGACUGCCUGUAAUUGAAGGUGAAUGAAAGCUAUCCAGUCACUACCAGUCUCACUGGGGUAUGAACCUGCAAACUGAAGAGCGUGAGAGUUGUUUUGUCUCCAUUACAUAAUGAAAAUAAGGAUAAACUUGAACACAAAUGUGCAUGAAAUGGCACUUUGAGGGUGGGAAGAAGAAAAGGAGGAGGAGGAAGAGAAAGAAGAAGAGGAGGAGGGAAAUAGGCACUUACUUCUGUGUGCUACAGAGUUGCCUGUAGCAUUGCUCAGAUAGUGAGAAGAUUUGUUCCCCUAGGAAUAGACAACUCCAUUUAGAAAGGGCUGGAAUGGACGGGCAAUAUCCUACAUUGCGCAAUAGGAAAAACAACUAAAACUGCUCAUGGGGAAAAGAAGGAGAACAGAGUUGCUCCCAAGGAAACAAGCAAGCCAGAAAACAAAAUCCCAGCUCCUUUUAGAAAUGCAAACCUUACCAGAGUAAGAACAGAGAGUACGAAUCUCUGCAGACCCCAUACAUCCAUAUACACACUGGGGAGAAGUGCUGCUCUCCCAGGAAGCUGGGGGUGCAGAACGGCCAGGCUUUAUGAGCAGAAAACCAUGACACAGGUACUGCUCAGAGAGCUAUGCUGGCAUUGGAUAUACUACCCACAUGUAGGCAGACACCACUCAUGGAGCUGCUGCCCGGUAUGCUGAUGGGACAGGUUCCUUUCCAGCCACCGAAUGGCAGCUUGGUCUUGGCCCAUCCCACACCAUCAAUGCCUGGUGCUGUCAUCAUUCAGGUGGGAGUAGGGCUGUAAAAUGACACUCUGAUUGGGAAUUAAAGCCUGAGAUUAUUGUUACAGUUAUCUGAGACGCAACCUGUGUUCCUUCAAUUAAAACAAGAGUUAUUUAUUAUAUGGAGAUUACUGGACAUGAUUGUUAAGGGUCAUAAUUUGCUUUUUCUCAGCCCUUAGAGUAACACUGAAUUAGUGCAUGUUGGCAUUUAAUUGCAAAACUUAUUUUGUUUCUAUACUAAUGAUACUGUAUUUUUACUAAUUUAUUUUACAAUGAAAAGCAAUCAUUUUUCUGUAAUAUUCCUCCCACUACUUAACCUACUUAACAAAUUUCAACUCCCUGCAACAUAGUGCACAUAAAAUUGAUUUUAAUU
rnacentral:lncRNA from 7 species